GGAACGUGCGGUUUAAUUGGAUUCAACACCGGAAAACUCACCAGCAAAGACUGUUACAUGAAACUCAGGCCGAUGACCUUAGUAGAUUUUCAGAGAAGUGGUGCAUGGCCGUCGUCAGUUCGUACUGUAAAGCGUUCUCUUAAGUGAGAUAACGAACGAGACCCUCACCAAUAGUUGCUACUGUGCCGUCCGCGACACAGGCACACUAUUGGGACCGCUGGCGCUAAGUCAGAGGAAGGAGAGGUCAACGGUAGGUCAGUAUGCCCUGAAUUUGCUGGGCUACACGCGCGUUACAAAGGUCGGGACAAUGAGCUCCGACACCGAAAGGUGGAGGUGAUCUCGAAACCCGUCCGUAGUUCGGAUUGAGGGUUGUAACUCACCCUCAUGAAGCUGGAUUCCGUAGUAAUCGCGAGUCAACAACUCGCGGUGAAUAUGCCCCUGCUCCUUGCACACACCGCCCGUCA
rnacentral:rRNA from 1 species